GGUCCCGUAGCUCAGUUGGUUAGAGCGUAAGUGACAGGAACAGCAGCCUGUAGUCCAAGAUUCUAACUCACAAGCAGGUGGUGCUAAUAACGCCAAGGUCGCGAGUUCGACCCUCGUCGGGACCA